rnacentral:rRNA from 1 species
GCUUGUCUCAAAGAUUAAGCCAUGCAUGUCUCAGUAUAAGUUCCUGUACGGCGAAACUGCGAAUGGCUCAUUAAAACAGUUAUAGUUUAUUUGAUGGUCGCUCACUACAUGGAUAACCGUGGUAAUUCUAGAGCUAAUACAUGCGUCAAAACCUGACUUCUUGGAAGGGUUGUGUUUAUUAGAUAAAAAACCAAUCCAUGCUCUGCAUGGUAUUGUGGUGACUCAUAAUAACCGAUCGAAUCGCAUGGCGUAAGCCGGCGAUAAAUCAUUCAAGUUUCUGACCUAUCAGCUUCCGACGGUAGGGUAUUGGCCUAC